AAGAGCAAUGGAGACAAUACAGCAUGGAGGAAAGUCAACAGAAGAACUUGCAGCCAACUGCUGACUGUCUCUGUGCAGACAAAUGCCAAGAAAUGGCAAUGAAGAAAAGGAACAAAAUGGAGAACCAGCAAUCAGUGCAGAACUUCACUAGUCUGUGAAAAAUGCUGAUGUUGGAGACAGGAAAGUGGUGUUUUUCUUAAUGUUAAAGAAAAUCUCCUGAGAUUCUGUAAGCGUGUUUGACUCAUGCAUCUACUUACCCACUGCGAGUGACAAGACACUGUCGGAGUCCAAGUUUCCGGAAGAUAUCUACCACUGUCUCCAUUGGCGUGUGGUCAGUGACAGUGAAAGGGCUCAAGUUGAGAAUACGCCGCAGCUUCAGUGGAUGGGGACUAUUGGGUGGCAGUUCUGGGGGAUCUUCAGUGAAAUACACAAUGGAGUUGCUCACCACCCCAUCCUGCCGCUGUCUUGCAUUCUCUGUACAACAAAAAGAUUAAUGUAGACAGUGAAUCAGGCUUGAUAAUAAUAAAAAAUUAUCCUCCUUUGGAAAGCAAAGAUAGUAGCUUUUAGUCUUUGCUGAGGUGUUGGGAGUUGGGGUUACAGAGCAAACCCUUGAAUUUCCUUGCAACAUUGUUGGUAGUCCAAAAAUAUAUUCUGAAAUAAAUGUAAAAAAUAUUUUUACAAGCACAUCCUUUUGCUUGGUUGUGAUAAUAUUUUCCUGAAUAAAUAUGCUAUUCCUUGUGGUCACUAAUAUUACUAAACCAAACUCUGUCAAAUUCAAAAGAUUAUAUCAAGUUUCCUCCAUGGUGAGAAACAACAGAAACUUGGUCCCAGUCAACUCAGAGAAGUGUGUCUAUUCUCAGACUUUUCAGUGGUGUUGGGGAAAUUUGGGCAGGGUGAGUGGAUUUACAAACAUGAUGCUAGCAAAGGACAACGUCACAUCCCGGGACGCUGGGGGCUGUGCAGGCAUUAUUCUAGACUGCCACAUCUCUCUAGGAUGCCGAGUAAAUUUUGUUGUUUUGCACUCAUUUCCUCAAAUAAAGUUUGUUUAUCUAGAUUUUUAACACGACAGAAAGAAAUAAGCCUCCUACUUAAAGAAAAAAUAGUAAUGGGAGGAACAAUAUCUAGCAGUAAAUGACUUCAAUAUGUUUUUUCCAACAGUACUUAUUUGACCACCUUCCAGAGUUCAAAAGCUAUCAUUCAUACCUUGAUCAACCUAUGAAGCGAACUUUACACUAUGUCUAGAGUUUACACCAUUAGUAUAAAACUUUCACUUUAAAGUAUGCCCCCAUAAUAAUUCUCAGAACUGAAGUAUUUUUCCCUUGCAGUAUUUACCUCAUUUCUACUCAAAACAACAGGUUGCUAACAAUAUAUGAGAUGAAAUUCUAAAUGAUAGACAACCUCUUUCUCUCCGGUAUAAGUGUAUCUUGUAUUUCACUUUGAAGGUUUAAUUCUUUCUUUUUUUUUUCUAUAUUUUAUAUAAAUUCUUGGAAAUGGCUAGAACUAAUAUCUUUGAUUAACAUGGGUUGCCUUUGUUCUUGAGAGGUACAGAAAAUCAGAUGUACUCAAAGGAUAUGUAUAUAUUCUUGGAGCUCAUUUCCAUCAAUAAAUGUGCAGAAACCUG